AACAUACUUCCUCCGUCCGGAAAUACUUAUUCUAUAAAUAGAUGAAUCUAGACUGAUUUUAGUUAUAAAUACAUUCAUUACAUUCAUUUUUAGGAUAAGUAUUUUCGAACAGAGGGAGUAGAAU
rfam:Hordeum vulgare subsp. vulgare, WGS project CAJW01000000 data, contig: morex_contig_1575424